GAUGAACGCUGGCGGCGUGCCUAAUACAUGCAAGUCGAGCGAAUGGAUUAAGAGCUUGCUCUUAUGAAGUUAGCGGCGGACGGGUGAGCAACACGUGGGUAACCUGCCCAUAAGACUGGGAUAACUCCGGGAAACCGGGGCUAAUACCGGAUAACAUUUUGAACCGCAUGGGUCGAAAGUGAAAGGCGGCUUCAGCUGUCACUUAUGGAUGGCCCCGCGUCACAUAGCUAGUUGGUGAGGUAACGGCUCACCAAGGCAACGAUGCGUAGCCGACCUGAGAGGGUGAUCGGCCACACUGGGACUGGGACACGGCCCAGACUCCUACGGGAGGCAGCAGUAGGGAAUCUUCCGCAAUGGACGAAAGUCUGACGGAGCAACGCCGCGUGAGUGAUGAAGGCUUUCGGGUCGUAAAACUCUGUUGUUAGGGAAGAACAAGUGCUAGUUGAAUAAGCUGGCACCUUGACGGUACCUAACCAGAAAGCCACGGCUAACUACGUGCCAGCAGCCGCGGUAA
rnacentral:rRNA from 1 species